ACAUUUAUGACAGAACAACUGGGACACUUUAGAAAACUUAGAAAUAUUCAGAUCAGAAAACACUGGAUUACAGUUUUUAUUACAGAAUGGAAAAUAUGAUUUCAUUGAGUUUAUUCUUUAUAGUUACUUUUCAUGGAGUUUGGAGUGAGAUCAAACUGGACCAGUCUCCCUCUGAGGUGAAAAGACCUGGAGAGACAGUGAAGAUGUCAUGUAUCAUAUCUGGUUAUAGCAUGACAAGCAAUGAUAUUCACUGGAUACGACAGAGACCAGGAGAAGCUCUGGAGUGGAUUGGGUGGAUGAGCACAGGUUCAAACUCUGCUAGCUAUGGCAGCUCCUUUCAAAGCCGUUUCAUCAUGACUGAAGAUGUUCCCAGCAGCACUCAGUACCUCGAGGUCCAGAGCCUGACAGCAGCAGAUUCUGCUGUUUACUUCUGUGCUCGAGAAGACACAGUGACUGAAGACAGUGGAGCAGCUGCACAAAAACCUCCACAGACAACAAACAGCAAUUUGAUCUUACUGUAA